AAAGCGUGUCUCCCUACGCGGAAACCCCCCUUUUUUGCUCUGUGUACUCUCUAUCGGGCACCAUGUCUGAGUCCACCGCGCUGAAUGUGUCGGCAACGGAGAAGAAGGGCUACAAGAGCUGUGAUGCCGCUCGCGCCGCCUUCCGCGCCGGCGACGUGGAGGCGUCGCGUCGUGAGCACAUGAAGGAGAUGCCGCAGGAGAACCACAACGUGAGUGCCUCCGAAUAUGUGAAGUCCCUCGUGUUUGGCGGUCUGGACGGCAUCAUGACCACUUUCGCCAUUAUUGCCGCGGCGGCCGGGAGUGGGGGCAACAAAGCCACGGUACUCAUUUUCGGUUUCUCCAACGUUAUCGCCGAUGGCUUUGCUAUGGGAUUCGGCGAGUACGUCUCUGGCGAGGCUGAGCGGGAGAACGCCAUCUCGGAGCGGCGCCGCGAAGAGUGGGAAGUGGAGAACUCGUUUGACUUGGAAAUAGACGAAAUGGUGCAGAUAUACAUGGCGAAGGGGCUCUCCUUCGACGACGCGCACACGAUUGUCGGCAUCAUCUCCAAAGACCCGAAGAUGUUUGUGGACUUCAUGAUGGUGGAGGAGCUCGGGCUUCUGGUGGACAUCGACGACGCUCACGGCCCCAAGAAGCAAGGUGUCGUGAUGUUCGCAUCCUUCAUGUUCUUCGGCUCCAUCCCUCUCCUAGCGUAUCUUCCAGGCAAAGGCCAGGGCGUAGACUUCGUUUUUUUCGUGUCCUGCUUUCUCACGAUGGCCUCGCUGGUCUUCCUGGGCUCGGUGAAGGGUUACCUCGUCGGCGUCAGCAUGGGGCGCUCGGCGGUGCUUAUGGUGCUCAACGGCUUAAUCAGCGGUAUCGUCAGCUUCAUGGCUGGCCACCUGAUUCAGAUGGCGCUCACUAACGGGGACGAGGCCACGACUUCCUUGCCUGUGUAAGGUGUGCUCUACGGAAAAUAAGCUCUUUGCUGGUGGCAAGCACUUGCACACGUCCUUAUUCAUGACUCUUUUUUUUGUUUGCCCUCUCGCUCGCUCGCUUGCUCUCUCUCUUUCCACUGUGCAAGAUGCUAAGAGACCGCACAGAUAUGGAUGGAUUUUAGCUCUCUUAUCUGAAGUCUUAUCGCAUGAACCG
rnacentral:misc_RNA from 1 species